rnacentral:rRNA from 1 species
CCCUUACGAGGAUCCAUUGRAGGGCAAGUCUGGUGCCAGCAGCCGCGGUAAUUCCAGCUCCAAUAGCGUAUAUCAAAGUUGCUGCAGUUAAAAAGCUCGUAGUUGGAUCUUGGGGUGGGGUGUCUGGUCCGCCCCUCGCGGGUGUGCACUGGGCGCCCAGCCCUUUGAGCCGGGGUCGCUGUCCUGGCCUUCAUUGGCUGGGGCGCGGGUUCGGCGGUGUUACUUUGAAAAAAUUAGAGUGCUCAAAGCAGGCCUGUGCUCUGAAUACAUUAGCAUGGAAUAACGCUAUAGGACUCCGGUCCUGUCGUGUUGGUCUCCGGGACGGGAGUAAUGAUUAAGAGGGACAGUUGGGGGCAUUCGUACUCCAUUGUCAGAGGUGAAAUUCUUGGAUUUAUGGAAGACGAACUACUGCGAAAGCAUUUGCCAAGGAUGUUUUCAUUAAUCAAGAACGAAAGUUGGGGGCUCGAAGACGAUCAGAUACCGUCCUAGUCUCAACCGUAAACGAUGCCGACUAGGGAUCGGCGGGUGUUGUUUGGAUGACCCCGCCGGCACCUCCCGAGAAAUCCAAGUCUUUGGGUUCCGGGGGGAGUAUGGUCGCAAGGCUGAAACUUAAAGGAAUUGACGGAAGGGCACCACCAGGAGUGGAGCCUGCGGCUUAAUUUGACUCAACACGGGGAAACUUACCAGGUCCAGACAUAGUAAGGAUUGACAGAUUGAGAGCUCUUUCUUGAUUCUAUGGGUGGUGGUGCAUGGCCGUUCUCAGUUGGUGGAGUGAUUUGUCUGGUUAAUUCCGUUAACGAACGAGACCUCAGCCUGUUAACUAGCUACGCGGGGGCCUGCCCCCCGCGGCCAGCUUCUUAGAGGGACUUUCCGCUUCCAGCGGAAGGAAGUUUGAGGCAAUAACAGGUCUGUGAUGCCCUUAGAUGUUCUGGGCCGCACGCGCGCUACACUGACGGGUUCACGAU